rnacentral:rRNA from 1 species
AACGAACGCUGGCGGCAUGCCUAACACAUGCAAGUCGAACGAGACCUUCGGGUCUUGUGGCGCACGGGUGCGUAACGCGUGGGAACCUGCCCUUAGGUUCGGAAUAACUCCCCGACAGGGGUGCUAAUACCGGAUAAUGUCUUCGGCCCAAAGAUUUAUCGCCUUUGGAUGGGCCCGCGUUGGAUUCGCUUGUUGGUAGGGUAAAAGCCUACCAAGGCGACGAUCCAUAGCUGGUCUGAGAGGAUGAUCAGCCACACUGGGACUGAGACACGGCCCAGACUCCUACGGGAGGCAGCAGUGGGGAAUAUUGGACAAUGGGCGAAAGCCUGAUCCAGCAAUGCCGCGUGAGUGAUGAAGGCCUUAGGGUUGUAAAGCUCUUUUACCCGGGAUGAUAAUGACAGUACCGGGAGAAUAAGCUCCGGCUAACUCCGUG